GGUCACACGGGAUGACUCUAUAUCCCACCCUCCUCCACCCCCCUGGGAGAGUCUGGAGUGCUGCGUCAUGUCUGAAACCAUGGGAAAAAAAUUUAAAUCAUUCGUAUUCUGCGACAGCAAGAAUUCUUUAGCUGUGAGAGGAGAUGGGGUGUCAAUCAAACGGAAUAUUCCUGGCUAUUUGUAUGUGCGGAAGAAUGAAGCUUUUGCAUCAGAAGGGCUGAGAGCAACGUGGGAUCCGAGCCUCGUCUGCGACCUACACCACAGCUCACGGCAACGCCGGAUCCUUAACCCACUGGGAAAGGGCAGGGAUCGAACCUGCAACCUCAUGGUUCCUACUCAGCUGAACCUCUUUUGCUGUCCAUCAGCGUGAGGCGUGUUCCCAUGAGAAGCACCCUGACCUCGUGGGGAGGUGGGUUUCCCAACUCUUGGGUCCAUAGUUAGGGUCCCUUCGAAAGGACUGUGGUUGCUGCCAGCCUGGGUUUCAUCCUCCUUAAAGCAGAUGGGACAGGAGUUCCCGCUGUGGGGCAAUGGCACAGGCAGCAUCCUUGCUGCUUCAGGGCACGGGUUCAGUGCCCAGCCUGGGAAGCGGAUUAAAGAUCCAGCAUUGCCACAGUGGUAGUGUAGGUCACGACUGUGGCUCAGAUCCGAUCCCUGGCCCGGGAACUCUAUAUGCUGCUGGAAGGCCAAAAAAGAAAGAAGAAGAAAAAAAAAA
rnacentral:lncRNA from 1 species